rnacentral:rRNA from 1 species
UGCGCAGGCGGGGAUGUAAGUCAGUGGUGAAGUACUGCCGCUUAACGGUAGAACUGCCAUUGAUACUGCAUCUCUUGAGUAUGGUUGAGGUAGGCGGAAUGUGUUGUGUAGCGGUGAAAUGCAUAGAUAUGACACAGAACGCCAAUUGCGAAGGCAGCUUACUAAGCCAUUACUGACGCUGAGGCACGAAAGCGUGGGGAGCGAACAGGAUUAGAUACCCUGGUAGUCC